AAGAAAACUGCAUGAACACUGAGUGUGAUGUUGACGUAUCCUCGAGACGAGACAGAGCAGCAAUAUCUCCCUGGUCCUCUGUGGUCAAGUUUGAUAUCUGUAGAGAGAGAUUUCCUGUAGAGGUUUCAUUCAGCAGUUCGACUCGUCCUGUGUGUCUCUCGCUCUGUUUGUUUUGUUUAGUGGAGUAAAUGUCAAUGUUAGUUGUUCUGGUUUCUCCUGUAGUUCUCCUGAGUGUCCCGUCACCUCAACUGCUUGUUCAUUCUCAUCCAGAUCACAACUUGUCAACACAUUCACAGCUGUUAUACUGAGAAUUAUAUUUACACUGCACAUUUGCAUACGGUGAUAUGGAGAGACACAGAGGAGACCGUUGACAAAAGGAAUUAUUGAAUAAAAUCGUUAUUCUUGUUUUCUUCGCUUCAUAUAACCCAGAUUGCACAUCUGAUGGCAGAUGGAGUAUUCUGAUGACGACUUUCAUACCUUUUAUGGAUCUUGACACUGUUAUUUAUUUGGCAGUUUAUGGGACAGUCUCAAGCCUCCAGGAGUAAAUCAACAACAGAAUAACUUCAGUAGAGGAAAGUCAUCUGUCCUGACCUCAGCCCGACUGAAGCUCUUUGAACUCAAGAGAGAGACUCACAUUAGACAUCCCAAAAUCCUGCUGGACUGCCAGGAGACUAGAAAUGAUGCAGAAUUGCUCCUGACUGCUGUGCAGCACACAGUUACAUCUUUAAUAACAUGCCGAAUCCUAAGGGGAAGUGCGUCCUUGAGAAGAAUUUCAUUAGAGCACUCUCGAGUUCUCUGGCUGACGCUCCACAAUCCACGCAUUCUCUCUUGCAAUCAUCUUCCUCACAGAAGAGCUUACAGUUGCAAGGAUCUGAGCAGGUCGUAAAAUACUGUCAUCAGCUCCUGUGAACUUCAGCCCUACUGAUUAUUUAGAAGAGACAUUUCCAUCAGUUCCUGGUUUAAAAUAACUUUUAUCUAAUGAAAAUGAUAUAAAACCAUGAAAGGUUGAUUUGUGUGAUGUAUGGAACAUUGUUGUGUUGUGAAUUAUUUUGAUUUGAAUAUGUCACUAAACUGAAAUGAUCUAGCUUGUUAAUACAAAGGUUUUCUUAAGAACUAAGUCAUUAAAACUAUUCA
ensembl:lncRNA